GCGAAAGCUCUGUGUAUUGUUUGAGGAGCGCGCGAAUUUUUAGGUGUUCGGCAGUCGUCGUGUGAUCCCGGCGAAAAUUCCGGCAUCAUGUCUAGAGACUCCGUAAGGAAAGCAGACAAGAAAGG